AAUGCAGUUAAACUAAACUUAGGCCUACAAUUAUUGAUUCAAAUGUCUGCAAAGUGGAAUUGAGUUUAUCGGUUCUGAAAUUGGUGUGAGGAAUCUAAAUCGGAGGCUGCAAUGAUUAUUAGAGAUAAUGUUAUUCCUUCAGUUAGGCUUAGAAUAGUACUAAAUGAUUUUUGGUGUGUGAUUAUUGAAUCAAAGACAACGGCGUAAACAAAUGGAGGCUGUCGAGGACCGGGAAAUGUUCAAAUCAUGUUUAUGCAAACUGAUUGAAUGUAAACAAGCUGGAAUUGUUUACUUACGGGAACUGCUGGGGCGAUAUAGACACAACGGGGCAAUUGUGUAAUGUGUCCUGAUGAUUCUGAAUGUCCGAACUUCAGUACUUGUUGUCAACUUCCUGAUGGAAAGUAUGGUUGUUGCGGACAUCCAUCUGCCGUAUGUUGUUCAGACCAUUUGCAUUGCUGUCCUCACGGCUUUGUCUGCAAUUUGAAGAGUAGCAAAUGUAUCGGCAGGCAAGAUACCGGGAGUGAACCUUUGACGAAAAUGACGAUUGACGAUCGCUCAUACAAUAAUGAGAUUUCUGCUGGAUUGGAUGAAAUGUAAACUAUAAACCUAUGCAUUUACAAUAGUCUUGUGAUUUUCAUAUUUUUUCCAGUAUAAUAGUAUGAAAUAUUGCUACUAAGGUCCGUUGAUUAAUUUUUAGGGGACGUUAUCUUACAAUUUAAUUUUAUUUUCUAUAAUAUCAAUAAUAUGAUCUCGUUGAAGCCAACUAGCCUUGAACCUAGACUUGAAUUUUUUUUUCAAGCUAGGUCGCAUUUCAAAAUGUCGAGCCCUUUAAAAUCCAUUUCACGUUCUAAUAUUCUAUUUCUAACGUCUUUUAGAAUAUAACAGUUUGAAUACAGAUUUGCAUAACUUUUCAAAUUUCAUUCCUACCUUUAAAGUUCAAAAGAUUUUGCUCAGCAUUAUUAGAUUUACGGUGAUAGCAAUUGUUUUCAUUGAUUGAAAUAUUUGUGUUAAUAUCGUAGUGACAUUUAGGUUGACAAAUA